UUGCCUCGUAAGCAGUAACACAUCUGCCCAUCCACCCACAGCUGCAGUCACAUGUAGCUGCAUCUACCAACAUACCCUUAUACAGCCUUAAAAGACAAAAGUGGCCCAGAGCCAAACCGUUACAUAACAGAGUAGUCAAGCAGGUGGGCCUGUCAGUAACCAUGACAUAGGUUGCCAUAGAGGCACCAACACACCCAAUUCUAGAUCUCAACCUGACUGAAGCAGGGAGACCGGUUGCAGCCUUGGUCUCUACCCAUAACCUCAUUUCACAGAGUUGAGUGUUAAAACCCCUCUCAAAGACUAGACCCAGAGUGUGACUCCCAAGCUAUGGCUUUUGGGGGCCUAUGUGGGUUGCCCACUCACUGUCUGGUGUCUUUGAUUUCUGGGUCAACUUGAGACUGUGUGUUCCUGAGGAAAUCACAGAGAGGGGUCACGCUGACCUCUGCAGUACUCCACUCCUGGAUGCUCAGUCCCCCAUGAAAACCCUGCUCCAAUCCUUGGCCCAAUAUCUUAGUGCUGAGGUGAAGCACUAAAGUCCAGCACAGUUGCUGGAACUGCUUAUUUCCCAUUCAGGGUCAUAGCUCUCCAGACUUGGAGUUUUGGCUGGAACAUCAGUCUUGUCUCUCAAGACAGGUUGGCUACAUUCAACCCACUUCCCAGUGCCAGAAAAAGGAUCAGUACAUUUGAACUUCUUGGUUCAAUUCCAGAAAAAUGAGAGGAGGGGAAAGAUACCAUUUUUGUCUUCAAGGCAAGGAGUGUGGUGGAAAUAAGACACAGCUAUGCAAAGAUGCAUAGAAACAAAGAGGUAUGGAGAAAAAUCUUGCUUUUGCCUCUCAUCAAAACCACAGCUGUGGUCAGUUCUCCGCAUUCAGCCCAGUGAGGCCCUGAGCUGACAGUCCAGUCAAGGCAUGCCUGGAGUGUGAUCUACAGAAACUGUAAAGUAAUAAAUCCAUGUUGUGA